AUUGAACGCUGGCGGCAGGCCUAACAAAUGAAAGUCGAACGAGUGGCGGACGGGUGAGUAAUGUCUGGGAAACUGCCUGAUGGAGGGGGAUAACUACUGGAAACGGUAGCUAAUACCGCAUACCAUCGGAUGUGCCCAGAUGGGAUUGGCUAGUAGGUGGGGUAACGGCUCACCUAGGCGACGAUCCCUAGCUGGUCUGAGAGGAUGACCAGCCACACUGGAACUGAGACACGGUCCAGACUCCUACGUGCGGCAGCAGUGGGGAAUAUUGCACAAUGGGCGCAAGCCUGAUGCAGCCAUGCCGCGUGUAUGAAGAAGGCCUUCGGGUUGUAAAGUACUUUCAGCGAGGAGGCGUUACUCGCAGAAGAAGCACCGGCUAACUCCGUGCCAGCCGCCGCGGUAAUUC
rnacentral:rRNA from 1 species